AUUGAACGCUGGCGGCAUGCCUUACACAUGCAAGUCGAACGGCAGCACGGGAGCAAUCCUGGUGGCGAGUGGCGAACGGGUGAGUAAAGUAUCGGAACGUGCCCAGUCGUGGGGGAUAACGUAGCGAAAGUUACGCUAAUACCGCAUACGAUCUAUGGAUGAAAGCGGGGGAUCGCAAGACCUCGCGCGAUUGGAGCGGCCGAUAUCAGAUUAGGUAGUUGGUGGGGUAAAGGCUCACCAAGCCGACGAUCUGUAGCUGGUCUGAGAGGACGACCAGCCACACUGGGACUGAGACACGGCCCAGACUCCUACGGGAGGCAGCAGUGGGGAAUUUUGGACGAUGGGCGAAAGCCUGAUCCAGCCAUGCCGCGUGCAGGAUGAAGGCCUUCGGGUUGCAAACUGCUUUUGUACGGAACGAAAAGGUUUGGCCUAAUAAGCUGAGCUCAUGACGGUACCGUAAGAAUAAGCACCGGCUAACUACGUGCCAGCAGCCGCUGUAA
rnacentral:rRNA from 1 species